rnacentral:rRNA from 3 species
AUGUGGAAGCCCGGUAACGGGUGGAGCUGACUGGUACUAAUAGGCCGAGGGCUUGUCCUCAGUUG